UCAGUCGGCCGGACGGCCGCUCCGGCAGGUGCCGAAAGGCCGCCGGGGAGGAAAGUCCGGGCUCCCUUGACAUGCGGUGCCGGAUAACGUCCGGCGGGGGUGACCCCAGGGAAAGUGCCACAGAGAACGAACCGCCCCGCUUCGCCUUCGGGCUUGGCAGGGUAAGGGUGAAAAGGUGCGGUAAGAGCGCACCGCGGCUGCGGCAACGGAGCCGGCAUGGCAAACCCCACCGGGAGCAAAACCGAAUAGGGACGGCGUAGCGGGCUGUUCGCGAAAGCGAUAACGCCGCGGGGCGAUGUCAGGCCCGCCGUCCGGGUAGGUUGCUCGAGGCCGUGUGCAAACACGGUCCCAGAGGAAUGGCCGUCACGUAUCGUCCGCGCAAGCGGACGGUGCCCUACAGAACCCGGCUUACAGGCCGGCUGAUAUC
rnacentral:RNase_P_RNA from 4 species